GCAGUCCUCUGCCGGCCAACAGGGGAGAGUUCUGAAGUAACAAGCCUGCUGGUAUACUGAUCGUGGACUUCAAGCCUCUAGAACUGUGCAAAGAGCUGUUGUGUAAGCCACCCCAUCUGUGGUAUCUUGUUAUGACAGCCCGAACAGACGAACACAGACUUCCAGUAACCGAGCCAGGUUGGCAGAAUUUUCUUAGAACACAGGCUAUGUGAUUUGCCUGCAGCCACGUACUCCAAAGCCCGUGUUCUGUAUACUGAGCCACGUUGUCUUCCGCCCCAGUUGGUGCUUUCUAGCCUGAAAAGCCCUGUAGAGAAUCUGGAGAUGAAACUGACAAACCUUGACCGGCAAGAUUGUAGUUCCCACGCCCAGCACGCACGUCGCGAGCCUCACCAACGGCAGCUCUGAGCCAUGCUUGCCAGAGCACCAGAAGCCGCUCAUGUUUACAACGUACCCUCAAGUUGAGUGCAUCUGGGAACAAAGAAGCAGGCUGUUUGGAGCAUUCAAAAGUCCCUUGAGCUUAAAAGACUAAUACCCAGUGAAGUAAGAAGUUUGCAGAGUACCUCCUGAUCUACCCCGAGGAAAGUCUCCGUGCUCCUUUCUUUGGGCAGCCUCCAUUUAGAGAAGCCCUGACAGCUGGCCAGAUUUUCAAACACAGAACAAAGAAGAAAGAAUUGCACAGCGAACAGCUGUCUACUAACCACCGAAAUUCCUUCAUUAACAUCGAACACUGCUUUUCCACAUACCCAUCCGUCUCUCUAUCCCUCUAUCCAUCCUAGCUCAUCAUCAAUGACACCAACCACUGCAAAACUCGACCUGAAGGAAUCCGGCAGGUCUGAGACAGGAAGGCC